rnacentral:rRNA from 1 species
GACGAACGUUGGCGGUGCGCUUUAUGCAUGCAAGUCGAGCGAGAAGCUUCCGUUCCGUAAGGUUCAGAAGUGGAAAGCGGCGAACGGGUGCGUAACACGUGAGAAACCUGCCCCUUAGACCGGGAUAGCCCAGGGAAACUUGGAUUAAUACCGGAUACUCUCUUUGGAUCGCAUGAUCCGUUGAGGAAACAGUCCGCUGCUAAGGGAUGGUCUCGCGGCCUAUCAGGUAGUUGGUGAGGUAACGGCUCACCAAGCCGAAGACGGGUAGCUGGUCUGAGAGGACGAUCAGCCACACUGGAACUGAGACACGGUCCAGACUCCUACGGGAGGCAGCAGCAGGGAAUAUUGCACAAUGGGCGAAAGCCUGAUGCAGCGACACCGCGUGCGGGAUGACGGCCUUCGGGUUGUAAACCGCUUUUUCAGGAGGGAAGAAAAUGACGGUACCUCCAGAAGAAGCUCCGGCCAACUACGUG